rnacentral:lncRNA from 10 species
CACUUCUUUCUUUCCUUUUUUUUUUUUUUUUGCACUUCUUUCUGUACUACUUUGGGCAGUGCUCUCUAAGCCUUCCCAUUAUCCUUCAUAGGAUGGAGCCUUCUGCCACAAGUGAAAACAGGCUGCACAAGGUUGGGCAUUGCUAAGAGAAAAUGGUUUGCUCAGACACCAUUUGUGUAAGGCCAGUCUGGCAGUGGCUGAUUGUUAAAAUGAUUGAAACUCUUCCAGUGACCAGUGCAGUAUUGUGCCUAGGGAAGUAAAGUGGUCUUCACCCUAGGCUGCAGUUCUCGUGAAUGGUAAUGUUCAUAGGGUUCACAUUUGAUGUACUUUCAAGUGACUAUGAGCCAGAAAGUAUGGCUGGUUUUUUUUUCUCUGCAACUUCUGCUGUAUAGUAACUUCAUCUCUUACAUUUGUUAGGCAAACCUGUAUGUGGGACUGGUGGUCAUGUGUGGCUUCGUCCUUUUUGAUACUCAACUCAUUAUUGAAAAGGCCGAACAUGGAGAUCAAGAUUAUAUCUGGCACUGCAUUGAUCUCUUCUUAGAUUUCAUUACUGUCUUCAGAAAACUCAUGAUGAUCCUGGCCAUGAAUGAAAAGGUUAGUUAGCCUACAACCCAAAGAUGAGACAAUAAUGGCUCCUGAGCUUGGCAUGUGUGUAUACUUCAGAUUUGAAAACUUGCUCACACACUGUGUUAGGUCCAGGGUAACUGUAAGGCAGGCCACUGAGUAAGAGGUAAGCCAGAAGUCUUCAGUUGUUAGAAAAAAAGCAGCAAGUGAAAAAAAAAUUUUUUUAACUAAUUCCUGCGUUUAGUAUGAAAGGGAAAAAAGCUUCAGUGGCAGUAAACACAACCUGCUACAUGAAUAAUUUAAAGGCUAUAUAGUUGUGACUCAGAGAAAGGUAUUGUGGAGGACGUUGUAAAUUUCAGAAGUAGACUAAUUUUAUCCAUUUGUUAAU